AGUUUGAUCCUGGCUCAGGAUGAACGCUAGCGGCAGGCUUAACACAUGCAAGUCGAGGGGUAACAGGAGAGCUUGCUCUUGCUGACGACCGGCGCACGGGUGCGUAACGCGUAUACAAUCUGCCUUGUACUAGGGGAUAGCCUUUAGAAAUGAAGAUUAAUACUCUAUAGUCUAUUUGAACGGCAUCGUUUUAAAUAGUAAAGGUUACGGUACAAGAUGAGUAUGCGUCCUAUUAGUUUGUUGGUAAGGUAACGGCUUACCAAGACUACGAUAGGUAGGGGCCCUGAGAGGGGGAUCCCCCACACUGGUACUGAGACACGGACCAGACUCCUACGGGAGGCAGCAGUGAGGAAUAUUGGACAAUGGGCGAGAGCCUGAUCCAGCCAUGCCGCGUGCAGGAAGACGGCCCUAUGGGUUGUAAACUGCUUUUAUACAGGAAGAAACACUCUCUCGAGAAGAGAGCUUGACGGUACUGUAAGAAUAAGGACCGGCUAACUCCGUGCCAGCAGCCGCGGUAAU
rnacentral:rRNA from 1 species